rnacentral:rRNA from 1 species
CCCUUAGAUGUCCUGGGCCGCACGCGUGCUACACUGACACUUACACCGAGUUUUUCCGGCCCCGAGAGGUGGCUGGUAAUCAGUAAUAGGUGUCGUGAUGGGGAUAGAUCUUUGGAAUUAUUGAUCUUGAACGAGGAAUGCCUAGUAAUCGUAGGUCAUCAGCCUGCGAUGAUUACGUCCCUGCCCUUUGUACACACCGCCCGUCGCUCCUACCGAUUUCGAGUGGUCCGGUGAACCUUUCGGACAGAGAGAGUCUCGUACAAUCUCUGAGAGUCAAGUAAACCACAUCACUUAGAGGAAGGAGAAGUCGUAACA